rnacentral:rRNA from 1 species
AGCAGCCGCGGUAAUUCCAGCUCCAAUAGCGUAUAUUAAAGUUGUUGCAGUUAAAAAGCUCGUAGUUGAAUUUCGGGAUUGACGUGAUGGUCGUGCCUUAAGGGGUAUGAACUGUUGCUGUUGAUUUCUCACCUUCUGGAGAAACUUGAUGUCCUUAAUUGGGUGUCUUGCGGAUCCAGGACCUUUACCUUGAAAAAAUUAGAGUGUUUAAAGCAGGCAUUUUGCUCGAAUACAUUAGCAUGGAAUAAUAGAAUAGGACGGCAUGGUUCUAUUUUGUUGGUUUCUAGGAUCACCGUAAUGAUUAAUAGGGAUAGUUGGGGGCAUUAGUAUUCAAUUGUCAGAGGUGAAAUUCUUGGAUUUAUUGAAGACUAACUACUGCGAAAGCAUUUGCCAAGGAUGUUUUCAUUAAUCAAGAACGAAAGUUAGGGGAUCGAAGACGAUCAGAUACCGUCGUAGUCUUAACCAUAAACUAUGCCGACUAG